AUGUCCUCCGAUGCUGCAAGGGGGAGAGAGCUUUUACAACAGCUGUCGCCUGCAUGGCUGCCUUUGCGGUGGGGGUCCACAUGUGGGGCAGGGAGAAGGCCUCCAGUCGUGGCUGAGAGAGAGAGAGAGAGCGGUGGCUUCGGUCGCUCCCCCCCGCUUUGGCAAUCCCUUGCACCUGUAUUCCAACAACCAGCUGUUGCGCCUGCGCAUGCGCGGGAAGGCUGGCAAGAUCCAGCCCUCCCAGCAGCGAUUGCUAGGAAUUUGAAUGAAGAGUGGUCCUCUCCCGCUGCUGCUGCCGCUGCCAUCUUCCUCCUCCUCCUCCUCCCCCUCCCCUCCUGCUGGAUCCCUGGUUGGGAUGCAAAACCUGAACUUGGAGAAGCAGCAUCUCUCGCGAAGAACCAGACGGAGAGCUUAGCAAUGAAUCCGCUGAAGCUCCGAUCCAUCAAAGAGCCAGAUCAACGAGGCACAGACCAUCCCUAGACGUGAUUAAAUAUCCCUUUCUUCCAAGGCUCGGAGACAACACGGAUUUACCUGACCUGUCUUCUUCACGAUUUGGCUUCAAAGCACAACCAUCUGGAGGAGGUAAGAGAACCUUCUUGCCUAGUGAUAUGCCCCCUUAUCCCUUUUCCUUUCUCCCACAUCUGUUCUCUGUGCAGAGGUGCAUCUAAGGUGGGAGAAGAACCUUCCUCACUGCUCAUUCUCUGCUGAACUCAUGCUCUUGCUUGCUCCCAAUUGCCCAGCCUCCUUUGGCAGCUCAGCGUGUAGCUGCUCUUUGGAAAUCAGUAUGUAGGAAGGUGACCGGUGCGGUUUAGUUGUGUGCCACCCAAAGCUUUCUUCUCUUUACUUGUCUUUUUCUUCUUGCAUCUGUUCCUUUCUUGCCUUAACUCUCAUUCCUCUACUCAGCACCCUUGCAGUGCAUGCCUCUCCUCUCUUUGUCAAACAAGCAUUGAUUUUUUUGUGUUUGAUAAGCAAAGAGAGGGCAAUGCAAUCCCCCCUCCUUCCACACUGAGUUAAUAUUAUACAUACUUGCUUGCAGUGGAGUGCAGCAGGCCGCAGAUAUUCCUCUUCAGACAACAUAUACUUUGCAGGUCUUGAUGAUGAAUGGGAUGCCAUCCCAUCGGGGCAUCUGCCAGUGGUGUUUGUCCUGAGCUAAACAUGUGCUUGGAAAUCUGUAAUGCUGAGAUAACUUCUUAAAAUGUACCAUCUCCCCACCAUGUGUUUUUAGACAUUUAGAACGUUUCUAGUCAAUCACAUUUCUUUCUCCAAGUUAGCAAUUUAGCAGGGUUUAGAGAUUAUGUGUUCAGAAUAGUUUUUUACAAUCCAAUCGGAGGAGGGAUUUCCUGACAAUCAGUCAGUGCUUAACUUCUCAGGUUCAUAAUGCAAGUGGGACAUUUUUGGGGGAGGAGAGGGGAAGCUCGGAUAUUCCAGAUGUUUUGGAACUCAUCUCCUAGAAGUUGUAGUAAUCACAGCCAAUGGUGUAAAGGAUUAUAGAAGGUGUAGUCCAAAAUAUCUGGAGAGGCAUUGUUUCCCACCCAUGUGUUGGUGGGUACUGGCAUAGAUAAACGAAACAGAAUGAAGGCAAGAACUCUAAACUGGAUGAAACAACCUCCAAAGUGCUGAAGAACAUAGAACUGAUGAAUCACUGAACUCUAUUGUGUAUGUAACAAUAUGUGCAUCUUUUAUUGCGAUACCUGAUUCAUAUGCAGCUUACAGAAAUAAAAUCCUAACAUACAAUGUCAUUAAUGUCAUGCAAAAUCUACUAACUGAAAUGUAUUCAUACCAUUUUAAAAUGCAAAGGUCUAAUUUCUAAAUGUCUGAAUAGGCAAGGUAUAUUCAUUUAGAACUUUAACACAUUAAUAAAAACAAUCAUAACACCAAAGUGCAGCUAGAGAAAGCAAGACAUGAUUAGCAAAAUCCAAACACGUCAAUUACUGGUACUCAGUAAUAUCCCAUUGUAUCGAGCUUUUCACAUGAUUAGAUAACCAAAAUUCUUUGUUCCUAUAUUACAGAAAGUAAAGCAAAACCCAUAUAGAGGAUCAAACAAUUGGAUACAUCUUUAGUAAACCAUUUUGUUGAAUGUUCCCAUACAUAAUUAUGCUUUUAAGUAAUUGAUUAUUGAUAGACUAUAUUCUCACAGGUUUGAUUACAAAAUCUUAUUACUGUGGAAAGAAGUAGGAUGUGUUUUUAAAUUGGAUACAACAAGCUUUAAAGGAUUUAUGUCUAAACCCAACUUGAUUUCUUUUCUGAGAAUAUAAUCAUAAUAUAAUUUAUGUUUUUGGGGGAGUGUUUUCCUCUGUCCACCAUGCUAUGAAGUUUCAUAACUGGAUUAUAUGACUGUGUAUUUGGUAUUAUUUUUAUUACAUAGAAAGCAUCAACCUGGUAACUGUCAUAGUAAAUGUUAUAGUAAAUGUCACUAAGUGCAUGUUUUUGGACUUCAUUUACAAUUGCCAGUUAUUGUAAGUAGUGGUUGGGGAUUGUAGGAGCUGUAGUCCUAUAAAAUCUAAACACUAGAGUUUUGAUACAACUGUUUCAUGGUUGUGAGACAUUAUACAUUUAAGAAGAUAGUAAUAAAAAGGUAUUCGUUCACCAAGCUUGAACUGAAGCCAAUUGAAUUUAGUUGGCUGUCUACAGACUGUAAGGUAAGGCUGUUAAAAAUAAGCAAAUUAGUCCCAAGCUAAAACAUUUAUUUAUUUAUCUCAAAAAAAAAUCAGACUCAAAGCAGCUCAUUUCAAGCUCAAACCCCAAAAUAAAACAAAACAUAAACAAAUUCAAACACCAAGCCACAAUAAGUCAUGGCUUAAAACAAAUGGAAACACAAUUCUUCAGACUCUCCCCAUAAUGUAACUUGAAGUGAACUACUAAGCGUAAAACAGUGAUAAGUUGGCCACACGCCAGAUAGUAUACAGUAUUACCUAAAUGAAUCUGCUCCCUCCGUUGUGAUGGAGGAUCUAUCCUGUCACCAGUGCUUAAGUAAAAUUCAAAUGCCAGUCCAGUUUGCUUCUGCAUGUAGAGUGUUUGUGUGUGCAUGUAUGGAUUCAUCAUGUUAUUCUUUGCCUCAGGUAGCAAAAUGUCUUGGGUUGGCCCCUGUCUAUCAGAAUCUGGAAAUAGAAAUGUGUGCUGAUGGCUGUUGUGAGAGUACAGGCAAAUGUGUAGGCACUACUGAGUGUGUUCAAGGAAAAGGCAGGAGGAAGAGGAGGAACAGCUCACUUGGCUAAUCAUCUACAUUGUUGUUUUAUUGCUUGUUUUAUGAAAAAACUAAUGACUCCAAGGUGGGACAGAAAUGGGAGAAAUAAUAUCUCUGUCCCAAGGAGAGUGAAGAAACAGGCAUGUGCUGUUGUUCAGCAAAAGAGAAGGACUACAUUAUAAAAACUUAUUAAAACCUGGUUUAAACUUAUUCAGGGAUUAGCAGUUGAUUCAGGUAUUAGCCAUCUUUCUACAUGUUAAGCAGAUGAGCCAGGGUGCAUCUACAUUGUAAAAUUAAUUCAGUUUGACACUACUGUAAGAGCUAUGGCUUGUUUCUAUAGAAUCACAGGAAUUGUAGAUUAAGAAGGUCUUUAGUCUUCUCUGCCAAAGAGUGCUGGUGCCUCACCAAACUGCAAAGCCUAGGGUUCCAUAGCAUUGAGUCAUGGCUGUUAAAGUGGUGUCAAACUUUAUUUUACUGUGUAGAUGCACCCAUAGUGGGUGAUAGUAUACGGACUUUUGCCAUGCUACUUGUAGCAUGUGGUCUGGGAGGGCUGCCCUCGAAGAUGACUCUGGGAUUACAGAUAAUGCAAAGUGGAACAAGAAAAUGGUUGUUCUUGAGGCCACAUAGACAACAUAUAGCACCACUUUUAAAGGAAUUGCAGUUUGCUUCCAGUCUGAAUUCAAAGUGCUGGUCAUGACAUUCAAAGCCUCAAAAGACCAUGACAUCUUAAGAAAUGCCUUUCACUGUACAUAUCUUCCCAAGGACUGAGAUCUGCUGGAGGGACCUUCCCUUGUGACCCAUCAAUAGGAGCAUCCCAGUGAUGGGAUGCCAUCCCCUUGAAAGCCCAACUCUUCCCCUUAUUGCUCUCUUUUGAUCCCAGGUCAAAAUACGGCUUUUUAUUUGGAGCCUUAUUUAGUUUUAAGCUUGCAUAUUAUUAUUAUUUUUUUGGGGGGGGGGGGGACCAACCUCAUUUAGCCUUUUAAGACUGUUUUACUUGUUGAGUUGUUUUCAUAUGUUUUAAAGUCUUUUAGAAACUAUUCAUAAAUUAAAUACGGAAUGAUUUACAUUAUUUAUAUUGUUCUAUAUGUUUGCUGCCCUGGGCUCUCAUGAAGAAGAGGCAGGAUACAAAUAUUUAAACAAACAAACAAACAAACAAACAAAUAUAAGUACAGUAGAGUCUCACUUAUCCAAGACUUGCUUAUCCAACGUUCUGGAUUAUCCAACACAUUUUUGUAGUCAAUGUUUUCAAUACAUUGUGAUAUUUUGGUGCUAAAUUCGUAAAUACAGUAAUUAUUACAUAGCAUUACUGCGUAUUGAACUACUUUUUCUGUCAAAUUUGUGGUAUAACAUGAUGUUUUGGUGCUUAAUUUGUAAAAUCAUAACCUAAUUUGAUUUUUAAUAGGCUUUUCCUUAAUCCCUCCUUAUUAUCCAACAUAUUCACUUAUCCAACAUUCUGUCGGCCUGUUUAUGUUAGAUAAGUGAGACUCUACUGUAAAUGCAAACAAACUUAAUGGCAGUUCCCCUCAUGUAAACUUCCUUAUUCCAUCUUCUUUCCUUCUUUUUGCUAGGAAUAUAAGGAGUACUUGCAAAUGUUCUUGUCUUUAGUGCAAAAGGUGGUUUCAAAUCAACAAUGUUUCCCCUUGAAAAAAUGGUGAUUUGCCAUCAGGUUUUCUGCUUGUGAGACUUUUAAAAAUUAUUUGCAUCACAUCGACAUUUUUUGUCCAGAAUAUGAGACAUAU
rnacentral:lncRNA from 1 species